GGGGAUUGGUAAAUAAAGUGCCAAAUUAUUCAGCCUCACAGUUUUUUUUUUUAAAUGUCAGGAAACCUAUCCAAGGCAUAGCCUUUUGAACUCACUCCUGCAGAAUAAAUCCCGAUCCCGUAUAUCGUAUUUUCAGAAGUUUUUUGAACUGGUUAAAUUGUUGUCUUUCCAUCAUAGGUGUGGUCCCAAAAGAUAAUUUGCACCUAGCUAUGAGGUGUUGAACCUUAGACUUUGAAGAGAACGAUACUCCAAGACCAAGGCUUUCACCAUUGGGCCAACCCUUAGGUUAAAGCCUCACAGUUAUUAUUUUGUAUUCAGUUUGUUGAGCAUGGAACUGCGUCCCACCAAAUAAGAGACCUGGCUGACCAGCUCAAUGGUCAUGUGCGGACCCUUAGACUUCAAAUGUAUGGCUAUCAAGUUAUCCAGAAGGUAUAUUGACCACCAGCUGUUGGGACAUGAAGUUGAGCUUCAUAUGGUUUGCAAUAAGUAGCCCAAACACUUUGGUGCACCCGGCCUUCCACAAUUCAAUGCCUCUCAAGAAUGAUCAGAAGAGCGUGCUACUGGAUUCCAUAAAGCUGGAUAUGUUAACGGAUAUCAGUCAAAGCCUUAAUUUACUGCAACAGGAUAGUCUCUGUGUACAUG